UCACCUUUUUCCAGGCUUACCUUCAGGAGGAGUCGGAUCCUGGUACAUACCGGUUUUCGGUGAAAUUCCUCUCGGUCUCACACCCAUGCUUAUCUAGGCCCUGUCUUUAAAACUGCCAGGCCUGGAUCGCACCCUUCAUGGCUCAGCGCUCAGGUGGAGGCUCCAGGAUUGCGGUCUGCGUAAGGACAUUCAAAGUAUCAGUUAUUUGCUGAGGCCAAACAGUUGAUUUUCACCCCUACCCUUCAUGGACUCUGAGCUUUUGGAAGAUGAAGAAACAGCGCAGAUUUGGCCAAGAUCACAUAACUAGGAGGUGGGGGACUGGAACCCACUAUGAUUGACUCCAAAUUAAUAUAGUGCUGUAGCCACUUACAUAAUAAUGGUAAUGGGUUCAUUUUUUGCUUUGUUGUAUGGAUAAACUCACUGAGAGAAUGAGGCAGCACAUCCUUAAAGGGUGUACACCUGGCAGGAAAGAACAGAAAAGGAAACGGAAACAGCAGAAAAAGUAAAAUCUCCCAAAAGAUAUUAAAAAGGAUUUAAAAAUAAAAGCAGAAAUAAAUGAAAUGGAAAAUAAAUUGAUCACAAUAAUAAUUGGUACUUGAAAAGAACAAUAAAUAGACACUUAGCAAAUCUGAGGAAGAAAAGGAAAGAAAACAAUUUGGAAACAAAAGGAACAUACUACAGAUAUGAGGGUCUUUGAAAAUCAGAAAUGAUUUAAUGUAAACUUAUGCUAAUAGUCCUGAAAAUUGACUUGCAUCAUUUUCUAAGAAAGCAUAAAUUUCAAAAAACUGGCCUAAGGGUUAGAAAACCUUAAUAAACUGAUAAUCAUAAAAGAAUGACCUAUGUAUGCCUGACAAAAGGCACCAGUAACAAAACAAAGAAGAAGACUUCCCAACUAUGACAGUACUAACCUAAUAGAUGCUAAAUAAGGAGAGCUUUGAAAGAAAAAAAUUGUCUCUCAGUCUCACUUAUCAAUGUGAAUGCAAAAAUCCUAAGGAAACUAUGAAGCCAGCAGUGCAUUUAGAGAAUGUCAUAACUAAGUUGGGGUUAUCCUACCAGUACAAGGAUGGGUUACCAUUAGACAGUAUAGCAAUGAAAAUAUCCUAAUUUAAUAAAUGAGAAAAACUAUAUGAUCUUAAGUCAUACUGAAAAGUCACUUGAAAAAUUAGCAUCUAUUACUGAUUCAAAAGUUAAGUUCAUAUUAACAUAAAAAGAACCUUUAACUGAAUGAACAAAUAAAUAGCACACUUAAUGUUAUAGUCCGUGUUAUCUGCAGUCAUUCCUGUGAGUCUGCACUGGUCUGCAAAUUUUGGCCCCAGUGUAAUAAUCAAGAUAAAUAAGGUAUGAUUGAAAAGGAAAUUAAGAUGUGAUAUCAUUGUUGGAUUCUCCUGAGACCAUAAAUUAGUUGCAUUUCAAGUAAAUUCUAAUGUAAUUUUUAGUGGAAAUUGGCAAGAUAAUUUCAGAUUUAUCUGGAAAAUUAAAUGCAGGAUUAAAUAAAACAUUUCUAGCCCUGGCUGGUGUAGCUCAGUGGAUUGAGCACGGGCUGGG